AUGUCAAAAUACUGUUCUGCCUGCUUUUUUUUUGCAAGCAAGAAAAGCAUCUUAGGUAAUGAAAACUGGAAGUCUCUUAUUACUGAAAGUAAUAAGAAAAAGCUAAGAAUACGAGAAGCUAUAAUUUUGUUAAACUUUUUAUCCCUCAGAAGGAGGAAACCAGAAGUGGCAUUGAGAAAAAAGCAAGGAAUAAGUAGAUGGCUGUACUGCUCCAGCAUGCUGACUGAACCCAGAGAGCUUUCAGUAGGAGAAACACGAACCAGAAUUGCCAGUCAGAAGUGCAACAGGAAGAGCAAGCUGAGAUGACAAACAGGGAAUGGAUGCAGGCGCACAGCUGGUGUCUUGUUUGAGUCGAUAUUGCUUCCUCAGCUCCUUGCAGCGAAGGACAUACAAGCAUGUGGUGUCUACAGUGCUGUCCAGGUGACAAACUGUCCAUCUGCUCAAUGUACCUACUGAUAAUCUGGACUGAUUAGUCUGAACUGGAGUCCACAGAAGCCUCAUGCUGUGUAACAUCUGAUACAACUCUCCCUUUGUUGUUCCAAGUGUUGCUUGUCCUUCCUGUGGCUGUCAGGGAUGUAGGAGCUGUAGCAGACUCCCUGCUGGACCUGUGGUGCUGAGGCAUUUCGUUGUGAGUUGAGCCAAAGGCACUUGUGUGCAGUGUAACAGGACAAGCUAGCAUUACCUUGUCUGGAUCACCGGCCUUCUCUGAGUGGCUUUUUGUGUGCUGUGGCCUUGAUGAAGUCAGUUCUCAGUGAACGGCAAGGCAUGAAAACGACAUGGGUAAAACUAGGCUUCUGUUAUUAUAAUCAACAGAGAAAACUUUUAGAAGGAUUCAAGUUGGACAGAGCAUAAAACAGAAACCAAAAUAGACUGAAGCAACAUCUUCACCACAACUUCUGUCCCUCUGUCAGUAAUGAGGGAAAGUGGAGUGUCUCAGUGUCCAAGGACCAGUGACUUGGCUCAGGUCUAUCUGCCAAAACUAGUUGAAGGAGGUUAUCUCUCGACUGUGAAACUGGCCUUCCUUGGUGACUCUGGAUCACUUUUGUGACUUUUGCUCCAUGGGACAUUCUUAGAAGGCAUUCAUCAUAGGGAUGUCUAAUGGCAUAUCAGGAUGUCUGUGUUAUUAUCAGAAUGAUGUUUGUUGUUUCUUUAAUGAUCAGCACUGGGUGGUAAUAUAAAUAUUGCCUAUGGGAUUACUAGGACCCCACAGUGUAUCUUGUUAUGUCUUCACAUCCUUCACUUGCAUAGCCAUAGCAAUUACUGUCUUAAGUGUCAAAUCAGUAGCAAGCUGUAGUUUUUCUAACAUGCAUCAUUUCUGUAUGCCAGUAAUGCUGCAAUACUGUGUUAAAGAGAGCUGUGCUGAAAUUUUGCACAGAAUCCUUGUGAAGUUAAAGUAGAACACACUUCAGAGGGAGCAAAAAAAUAUUUAUUCAAGCUUUCUAAUGAAAAUAACAAAAAUUUUGCUUCUACAGUCACCAAAAUCAAAGACAGCAUUACAGGUUAUCCUGUAAUCUUAUCAGAUAUACUGCUCCUGUUCUGUUUUGCUCUUUAGGGGCUUGUCCUCAUCUUAAAUGCUCCUACUUUGUUUUCUACUUCAUCCAGUCAUCAACAGCCUUGAAAAUGAUGGAUAAAAAGUCUUCCAUCUAUCCAGGAGUAUGUGAACUUGUGACCGCUGCCAAUACCCGUAUGCCUUUGUGGUUGUCUUAAGUGCUUCCGGUUUCAUUCCGCUUCUACUACCAUGUAAUGGAUUUAUUGUUUAAAUAAAGCCCACUUGCUCAGAGAUCUCA
rnacentral:lncRNA from 1 species